rnacentral:rRNA from 1 species
AAUUCCUACGGGGCGCAGCAGUGGAGGAUAUUGCACAAUGGGGGAAACCCUGAUGCAGCGACGCCGCGUGUGGGAAGACGGUCCUCUGGAUUGUAAACCACUGUCCCCAGGGACGAAAAUGACGGUACCUGGGGAGGAAGCUCCGGCUAACUACGUGCCAGCAGCCGCGGUAAUACGUAGGGAGCGAGCGUUGUCCGGAAUUACUGGGUGUAAAGGGAGCGUAGGCGGGGAUGCAAGUUGGGUGUCAAAACUACCGGCUCCACUGG